rnacentral:rRNA from 1 species
UGGGGAAUAUUGCACAAUGGGGGAAACCCUGAUGCAGCGACGCCGCGUGAGCGAAGAAGGCUUUCGAGUCGUAAAGCUCUGUCCUAUGAGAAGAUAAUGACGGUAUCAUAGGAGGAAGCCCUGGCUAAAUACGUGCCAGCAGCCGCGGUAAUACGUAUGGGGCGAGCGUUGUCCGGAAUUAUUGGGCGUAAAGGGUACGUAGGCGGUUUUUUAAGUAAGUUGUCAAAGCGUGGAGCUUAACUCCAUUAAGCACUUGAAACUGAAAGACUUGAGUGAAGGAGAGGAAAGUGGAAUUCCUAGUGUAGCGGUGAAAUGCGUAGAUAUUAGGAGGAAUACCGGUGGCGAAGGCGACUUUCUGGACUUUUACUGACGCUCAGGUACGAAAGCGUGGGGAGCAAACAGG